CCUACGGGAGACUGCAGUGGGGAAUAUUGGACAAUGGGGGCAACCCUGAUCCAGCCAUGCCGCGUGUGUGAAGAAGGCCCUCGGGUUGUAAAGCACUUUCAGUGAGGAAGAACGCCUGGUGGUUAAUACCCAUCAGGAAAGACAUCACUCACAGAAGAAGCACCGGCUAACUCCGUGCCAGCAGCCGCGGUAAUACGGAGGGUGCGAGCGUUAAUCGGAAUUACUGGGCGUAAAGCGCGCGUAGGUGGCUUGAUAAGCCGGUUGUGAAAGCCCCGGGCUCAACCUGGGAACGGCAUCCGGAACUGUCAAGCUAGAGUGCAGGAGAGGAAGGUAGAAUUCCCGGUGUAGCGGUGAAAUGCGUAGAGAUCGGGAGGAAUACCAGUGGCGAAGGCGGCCUUCUGGACUGACACUGACACUGAGGUGCGAAAGCGUGGGUAGCAAACAGGAUUAGAUACCCGAGUAGUC
rnacentral:rRNA from 1 species